rnacentral:lncRNA from 1 species
ACUCUUCUCUCUCCUGCUGCCAUGUGAGAAGGUCCAAGCUUACUUUCCCUUUGCCUUCCAACAUGAUGGUCCUGCUGAGGAUCCCUGGUGCCCAGUAGGGAACACCGUGAGGAGGAGGAUUAAGAAAGGCACCCUUUCCACUGAUUUGCAUCGCCAUUUGUACAUGGAGUUUGGCUACAGCAAAAUCCGUUGCUAUCUCACCAGCUACAAGAAGCAAAGAACGAAUUGCAAUUCAUUUUUGUGCUCUAGGACCCGGUUGAGGGUCCCUUGCCUUUAGGUGAGACCUUCCCUGACCAUCCUCCAUACAACAGCAAAAUCAUACCUCUGGAACUGGUCAUCCCAUCACUGCAGCAUAAAGAAUUCUCUGUGGCAUUCCCUCAUCGUUCAUGUAUGCUUUUAUUCUUUUAUGUGAUGGUCAGUCAGGUGUGGCCAUAAGAGGAGACGCAAGAGAGGUUCAGGGAAACAAAGUUUAUUUACUCACAGGUCCUAGAGACAGGAGACACACCACUCCAUGGAGAACCACAUGGGGAAGGCCUGGGGCAGUCAGGAGGCAGAGGAUGGAAGAAAGGGAAAUGCAUUAGGCCAGAGCCUUUUGGGGGCUUUCCAUGGGAAAGGCAAGCAAGGGGGGUAAACUGUUCAGAAUUGGCUGGUUUGACUCUUUCCAGCAGGCUUUAAACUCUAGGGGUGGUGCCUAGUUGCCUGAUACCUGGCUCUGGGAUGAUUAAGGCAGAUGGAUAUUGCCUCUUGGGGAGACAUGGGCAAAAUCAAUGAGCUAUAGCUCUGGAUUCAUUAGUUUGCAUAUCAAAAGCUUAUGCCAGAUGAGCAUUUUGCUACCUCUUAAGAAUCAGCUAGGCCUAGGAGGGACAGUCUCUCCCCAGCCAGAACAGUUUUUAAAGAUGUCAAAGCAUCAUAAUAUACAAAGUUAAAAAUACUUACAAUACAGUGUAUUCUCCAUCUCUACCACAAUGUAAGUUCCAUGAGAACAGGGACUUUUUCUGUUUUGUUCACUGUUCUAUCUGCAGUGCCUAGAAUAGUGCCUGAGAUACAAUAGUUGCUUAAUAAAUAUUUGUCAAGUGAAUGAAUGAAUGAAUGAAUGAAUGGAUUUCUAAUCUCCCCCCACCCUCUGAUCCCAGGAGCACUAUUGUUUCUGGAGCCACCAUUUCAGCUUCCUUAAAAAUAAAGGAAGGCAGGGCACGGUUUGAUAGUUUUAUUUGAAGGCAGAGCUUUUAAUGACGUUAUAAGGACAACAUUAACCUUAAAAAACAUCUAUCAAGAUCCAUUAAUUUUUUUUUCCAUUUUGCCUGACUCAUUUGAUGAGAACAACAAGUUCACAUGCAGUGAGGAAAUCAGAUUUAGGAAGGGUGUCAGAAGCAGGGCGGGAGAAACAUUUUAUUGUUUACUGAAAUACGGAUCACCCUCUCCUGUUUCAUUUUAUUAGAUAAAUCUUUUUUUCUUUUCUUUUUUAAAGUAGAGAAUACAUACAGAAAAGUCCACAAACCUUAAGUGAAUUACUGAUGAAUUGUUGCAAAGUAAACACACCCAUAGAAACACCACUCAAGUCAACAAAUAGAACAUUGUCAACACCCAGAGCACUCCCUGUGCCCCUUAUGGAAUCAGAUGACAUGUAUUCUUCUGUAACUAGCUUCUUUCAUUCUACAUGAUAUUUAUGAGAUUCAUCAAUGUCAUGCGUAGCAGUGGUUAAUUUAUUUUCAUUGUGUACAGUAUACCAUUUUAUGAAUAUACCACAGUUUAUCUGUUCUAUUCUUGAUGAACUUUUGGUUGUUUCUAUCUGGGGCUCUUAUGAAUAACGCUGCAAUGAAUAUUUUUGUGCAUGUCUUUGAUGAACACAAGCUCUCAUUUCUGACAGAUAGAUACCAGGAAUGGAUUUGAAAGGUUUUGUACAGACUACAUUUAGGUUUAGUAGAUAUGCCAAACUUCUCCCUAAAUGAUUGUUUUAUUCUAAGUUCUCACCAAUGAGAGUUCCAGUUGUUCCACAUUCUUACCACCAUGUAGUAUCAUCUGAAAUUUUAAUUAUUUUCAUCAUUGUGGGUGUAUAGUGAUACCUCAAUAUGAUUUUCAUUUGUAUUUCCCUGAUGACUAGUGAGAUUGAGCACCUUUACACGUGUUCAUUGGCCAUUCUAUUUCUAUGAGGUGCCUGCUCAAGUCUUUUGCCUGAUUUAUUUUCAAUUAGGCUGCCUGUCU